UUGCUGCUCCUGGGCCCCUUCCCCUUGCUCCCUUCAUCAGGCGCUCUCCGCUCCUCCAGCCCAUCAGCGCCUUGACUCGGGUGGCAAGAGUUGGUAAAAUGACAAUGGUGGACGUCUCAUUCAUCCUGGAAGACUGACAGAGGAGACAGCUUCAAGGCAAGCAGGGCUUUGGCCAUUUCCCCAGCCCAUCAACCAGCCAAUCACAAAAUCAAAAAACUAGGU
ensembl:lncRNA IGF2BP2-AS1 IGF2BP2 antisense RNA 1